rnacentral:rRNA from 1 species
GAUGAACGCUGGCGGCGUGCUUAAUACAUGCAAGUCGAACGGAAAGGCCCUGCUUUUGUGGGGUGCUUGAGUGGCGAACGGGUGAGUAACACGUGAGUAACCUGUACUUGUCUUUGGGAUAAAUCUUGGAAACUGGGGCUAAUAUCGGAUAGGAGCUCCUGCUGCAUGGUGGGGGUUGGAAAGUUUCGGCGGUUGGGGAUGGUCUCGCGGCUUAUCAGCUUGUUGGUGGGGUAGUGACUUACCAAGCCUUUGACGGGUAGCCGGCCUGGGAGGGUGACCGGGCACAUUGGGACUGAGAUACGGCCCAGACUCCUACGGGAGGCAGCAGUCGAGAAUAUUGCGCAAUGGGCGGAAGCCUGAUGCAGCAACGCCGCGUUCGGGAUAACGGCCUUCGAGUUGUAAACCGCUUUCGCCUGUAACGAAGCGUGAUUGACGGUAAUGAGUAAAGAAGCACCGGCUAACUACGUG